AACGAACGCUGGCGGCAGGCUUAACACAUGCAAGUCGAACGCCCCGCGAAGGGGAGUGGCAGACGGGUGAGUAACGCGUGGGAACAUACCCUUUCCUGCGGAAUAGCUCCGGGAAACUGGAAUUAAUACCGCAUUCGCCCUACGGGGAAAGAUUUAUCGGGGAAGGAUUGGCCCGCGUUGGAUUAGCUAGUUGGUGGGGUAAAGGCUUACCAAGGCGACGAUCCAUAGCUGGUCUGAGAGGAUGAUCAGCCACAUUGGGACUGAGACACGGCCCCAAACUCCUACGGGAGGCAGCAGUGGGGAAUAUUGGACAAUGGCGCAAGCCUGAUCCAGCCAUGCCGCGUGAGUGACGAAGGCCUUAGGGUUGUAAAAGCCCCUUUUCACCGAUGAAGAUAAUGACGGUAGUCGGAGAAGAAGCCCCGGCUAACUUNGUGCCAGCAGCCGCGUAAUACGAAGGGGGUCUACGNAGUUCGGAAUUACUGGCGUAAAGCGCACGUAGGCGGAUAUUUAAGUCAGGGGU
rnacentral:rRNA from 1 species